AGCGGAAUCCAGGACACGCGUUU
rnacentral:miRNA from 1 species